UAAAAUACAUUCUAUAGAACAAACGAUAGGCAACCUAAAUUAAUAAUUAAUGUAUGUGUGUUAUAUUAAACAUAGAGGAGGGAGUAACAUUUCAGAACAUCUACAGUCGAAUAGGACACGGGAGGGAUGGCGAAUUUUGGCAAAAUGAUUUAUUUAUAGACUAAUACACUUGAAACAAAUAGCCAAACCGACUUGACAUUACUAGUGAAAUCUCAACUAGCAAGCAAGUCGCAGCAACGAGAAUUGAGCGAGGUGGUGAGUGGGGUUACUUUUAAUUAGAUUUUUUACUUCAACUUAUUUUGUAAAUAUUUUCCUAACUCAAUUUUUUGAAUUGCAUUGUUGGUUAAGGGCUUGUAAGUAAGCAUUUCCCGUAAGGUCUACUACACCUGUUGUAUUCGGAGUAUGUGACAAUUUUCUUUGAUUUGGACAUCGUAAAUAUGGUACUGGAACUGACUGACCAUGGAUAUAGUAUGCUUACUUACUUUCUCGUGUUCUUCUUAUAUCUUAUUUAUAGUGUGUUUUUGUUCAAACUUAUGUUAUUUUUAGUAUUAGAGCUUGCAAGAAAGGCAUUUCAUUGUACUUGUGCACGUGACAUUAAAACUUGAAACAUAUCAUAUGAUAUGCCAUAUACUUCACAUGUAUAGCAACAAAGCCACACACAAUCUCUUCAUAGUGUCAUAUUUUCCGAGGACAAAACAAAACUCAUCACCAUUAAUGCGGUGCUUUAAAACAAGGAAGUAGACAUUGUAAGGCACAAACGGAGAUAUUUCAACAUGCAACAGGAAAUUUGCUGAAAUGAAUAACGUAUUUUUUAAAUUAAUGAUGUAGGCUACAGACAGACGUUCUCAAGCUAAAUGCAAAGGUUCGAUUAGCCUUGCUUGAAGUGUUUGGAGAAGCGCGCUCAAUUGGAUAACGAAUGACAAUCUCGCGCCUGUAAUCUCCCGAGACAGGUGUCAAGAUGAACAGCAGUAACAAGUUAUCGCUUUGCAAUGCGAUUCGGGCCGAGGUACGGCAUGAAACAACUUUGCCAAAGUUUUCAAUCAGUUGGAGAGGGUCGAAGACCAACAGCUUCGCUCUGGUUUAAAAGUUUACCUUCACAGCAUCCAAGGUAAGCAAUGCAAUAGGCCUAGCCCCAGGGCAUGCUAUUGGCUCCCAUCAACCUACUUUAUCACGCAAAAAUCCUGGGUGCAUUUACAUUGACAUUAAAUUAUAGCCUACCUGUAACGAAAAUGAACCCAUUUAAAACUUCAUUUAAAAGUGCUGGCAGCUUGAUAUGGCAUUGCAUCUGUUCCUUUAGCCUUGCUCAAAUGAUUCAGUUACACAAUAAUUGGUUGUCAGACUUUUUAGACUGUGUGCAGGGUGGUGUCUAGCUAGCUCAUAUCAUGACUCCAAUUCCAUUGUAUUACAUUGGGUCAUUGGACGUCCCCUUUAGCCUUGUGAGGGAAAUGCCCGACGCUGUCAAAAUGCUAGAUCUAAACUAAAAUACGCCUUGCGAUAAUGUUUUGGAAACAUUUGGAACUUAACUUUCAUAUGAAUUAUAAAUACAGAAGAUACACUUACUGUAAACAGUUUAUCAAAGUUGCACCUGGCUGUGUUUUGAGUAAUACGUGUUUGCAACCAGAAAUAUGGAAUGGUCCAAUGGAAAUGCCAGCACAAGGUGAGAAGAUGUGUCAUAUCUCGGCAGGAGACUGUUAUAGCCAGAUGCAACUUUGCUAAACUGCAUACAGUAAGUGUAUCUUUUGUAUUUGAAAGAUUCGUUCUCGCUGGUAUGAAAGUUAAGUUCCAAAUAGAGUCUGGGGAUUGUAAUUCACCUGGAACCAUCUGUGGUCCAUACUUUCAGCUGAGAACCCAAAAGAGGGCCUGUCAUGCCAAAUAGCGUCGCCCUUCACGUCACAAUAGGAUUCGAUACAUUCUAGCUUCUGUUGCUAGGGCUGUUGCAUUAACUUGCAAAAUUCUGACCGGAAUACGUAAUGAACCAUAGCGUCCGUUGCUAUGCUGGUUGCUAUGCUGGUUGCUAUGCUGGUUGCUAUGCUGGUUGCUAUGCUGGUUGCUAUGCUGGUUGCUAUGCUGGUUGCUAUGCUGGUUGCUAUGCUGGUUGCUAUGCUGGUUGCUAUGCUCUAUUUGACCUCGCAGGGGAUGCGGGCAGUUCGAGUUAUAUUUCACCGUUUAAACGCUCGCUUAGUCCGCGCAAAAUUAUUACCUCAAAAUUGCUCUCCAAGGAUGGUGUAUUUGACGGUGACUACCUGCUGCCUCAGAGGACUGGAAAGAGAACACUUUCUUUACCAUGUAUUUGUACAUAUUGUCAAAUAGGAAUACAUAAUUUAUUGUUUUUAUAGAUCGAUGUUGCUAGCUACUGUACUUCUAUACCUCAGCAUGCCUAGCCAGACAGUUUUAUUUAGCUAAGCUAAUGUUAGCUAGCUAGAUAGCAAGCAAGCUACUAUAACUGUUAUUGCAGCUUUCUGUUUGUAUGUAGCGUGCACUUCAAUGGCAUCCCGCGAGGAGAUUUUCUUUUAUCUUUCCAACCUGAGGAAGUACUAUGAAGACACCACUGAUGUCGACAAGAGGCGCAACAUUCAGAGAAAUUCAGGGCAAUCAUAUCUACCUACGGGGAAGGAUGGCCAGCCACACACAAGGUUGAUUUUUACUAAGGAGGAGAAGGAGGCCACCCUGACAGAGAUGCAUGUGGACAUUUUUGGAGUGAAGCACAUAUGAAUGCCAAAAUCAACCUACUCUUCUUCUGAUGUGAAAUUGUCAAGGAGGUGGAUAGCUGGGCAAGUAAAAUAACCUUUUGUUUAUCAAUCACAUUCUAUUAUAUCUGAAAUGAUUAUGAUUUCAAUUAAUGUCAUAUCAGAGAGCACACAAUGUUUACAUUUGUCACUUUUUGCUUAAACGUCAGUACCCUGUCUAGCCUGCCAGAAGUUUGAGAGGGCGAAGACUGUGGCACUGGAGAUAAAGCCCAUCAAAGUUGUUUCACCAUGGCACAUGAUCGGUUCACCAUGGCACAUGAUCGCUAAGUCUCCCAAUUCAAAUUUUGCCCUGGGGUGGAACUCAUUGGACCCUUCACGAAAUCCAGGAAGGGCAACAGCUGGUGUCUUCCAGCGACCGAUCACUUUCCAAGUGGGUGGAGGCAAUGCCCAUUAAGGACGAGACUAGCGAGACCACCUCCAAGGCGAUAGUGGACUAUCUUCAGCACCCACGGUUCUCCUGAGGUCAUCUUGAGUGACCGAGGUCAUGAACGCUGGAAUAAGGUUUGGUGGAUGGACAAACCAGACCCUCAAGUCCCUUGAUACCAGGAAGGCUGGGAGAACAACCUGAAGGUAAUUCUCUUUGCACACAACAGCAUCCAGGCCAAGUAUGGAUGGGAGCCGCAGCUGUUGUCUAAGAUCUCUGAAACCCCACCUGAUGUGGUGGAAGUUGUCGAUCCAGAUUAGAACGCCUUCAAGUACCACCUUCAGGCACAGACUGAGAAGGAUGUUGUUACGACUUCUAGGAGUAGUGGGUGCGGAGUCAGGCGCAGAGAGCAGAGGGUAAAGGACAACUGUAUUUAUUCCGGAGAAAAGUAGGUCACGCCAAAACACCGGGCGCAUACAAUGACCGGCCCAAAAACAGGACACAAACAGUCCGGAAAAAUACAGAAAAUAUCACAUCCACAAAACGAACAGAGAAACAAGCCUGCACAAAAGCCGGCGGGCUUACUGGGUUUAAAUAGCCCACAAUCACAACCUAAACCCAAAACAGGUGCAACUAAUCAGACACAACUAAAUUAAACAGAAAAGGGGAUCGGUGGCAGCUAGUAGGCCUGGCGACGACGACCGCCGAGCGCCACCCGAACAGGAAGAGGCACCAUCUUCGGAGGGAUUCGUGUCAGAUGUGGAGGUUUUUGACCAGGAAAAAUGAUUGCCCUCUGUUCAUUUAUGUUGUAACGCUGCAGUAAUCCAUCAAAUUUUCUCACAGUAAAGUGUAACCUGUGUGUUUGCUUGUUUACUUCUGUCUCCUACCUUUUUCAUUUUAACUCUGCUCCUGUUCUCCAGUACCUAGGGGUUCUGCCCAACACCCAGAUGUGGAUCCACCUUAUGUCCUCCAUUACCAACCACCCUCCAACUUUUCAUUACAUCAUCUACAGCUACUGUCAUGUUGUCAUUAUCUGUUAAGAGUUUUCUUGCUCUUAUCAUUCUGGGCACAUAAUAUGUGAGAUCCACAGAUGAACUAAAAACACUAGCACUGCAAACACUCAGAACAAAGAGAGCAGCAGUGCCUGGACUUUGCUGUCUCCCUCUUCAAGUCCCCAUUCUGAGACUGGCUGCCUGUUGAGAACAAGUGACAGGCAGAAUUCCACACACCAGAAUUCAGUAUUUUAGUCUAUGAAUGCCAUGUGAGUGUACAAAAAAUAUGUGAAAAUAAAUUAAUGACAUAACUACCAAAAACUA